CCGCGGGAUUAGAGUUUGAUCCUGGCUCAGAACGAACGUUAGCGGCGCGCUUAACACAUGCAAGUCGCACGAGAAAGGGAGCAAUCCCCAGUAAAGUGGCGCACGGGUGAGUAACACGUAGGUAAUCUGCCUCUGAGUGGUGGAUAACCUCCCGAAAGGGGGGCUAAUACAGCAUAAGACCACGGUCUCGAAAGGGACUGAGGUCAAAGCCGGCCUCUUCAUGAAAGCUGGUGCUCGGAGAUGAGCCUGCGGCCCAUCAGGUAGUUGGCGGGGUAAUGGCCCACCAAGCCUAAGACGGGUAGCUGGUCUGAGAGGAUGAUCAGCCACACUGGAACUGAGACACGGUCCAGACUCCUACGGGAGGCAGCAGUGGGGAAUCUUGCGCAAUGGGCGAAAGCCUGACGCAGCGACGCCGCGUGGGUGAUGAAGGCCUUCGGGUUGUAAAGCUCUUUGGGUGGAGACGAAUAAGUCGUAGCUAACACCUACGAUGAUGACGGUAUCCACAUAACAAGCACCGGCUAACUCUGUGCCAGCAGCCGCGGUAAGACAGAGGGUGCAAACGUUGUUCGGAAUUACUGGGCGUAAAGCGCAUGUAGGCGGCCAAGCAGGUCGGAUGUGAAAUCCCUCGGCUCAACCAAGGAAGUGCAUUCGAAACCGCAUGGCUAGAGUCCCGGAGAGGAAGGUGGAAUUCUCGGUGUAGAGGUGAAAUUCGUAGAUAUCGAGAGGAACACCUGUGGCGAAAGCGGCCUUCUGGACGAGGACUGACGCUGAGAUGCGAAAGCGUGNGGAGCAAACAGGAUUAGAUACCCUGGUAGUCCACGCCGUAAACGAUGGGUGCUAGGUGUCGCGGGCUUUGACCCCUG
rnacentral:rRNA from 1 species